UACGGGAGGCAGCAGUGGGGAAUUUUGGACAAUGGGCGAAAGCCUGAUCCAGCAAUGCCGCGUGUGUGAAGAAGGCCUUCGGGUUGUAAAGCACUUUUGUCCGGAAAGAAAUCCUUGGUUCUAAUAUAGCCGGGGGAUGAC
rnacentral:rRNA from 1 species